GCCGAUGUAGCUCAGUGGUAGAGCGUUUCCUUGGUAAGGAAGAGGUCGGCAGUUCAACUCUGCUCAUUGGCU
rnacentral:tRNA from 1 species